AAGAUUCUCAGGAAUUUUGGGGGAUGGCUCAGUCAGGUGCCACCAUCUCUGCUCCUUUUCUGGCCUCCCUUGUGACCCACACAGCUGUCCUACAGAUUGUGGAAGAACGUGGGGUCUCUACCUGCGGUCCUCUGCUGUGGAGAAGCCCUUCCUGCUGGAGACGAUGCCAGGAUCUCAGGACACAACCUGACUGCGAUCCCUGAAGUUGUACAGGGGACACAAAUGGGAGAACGGACAAUUCUUCGGAGAUGCCUCGCAAGGCAAUGAGGGCUACUGGGUCACCAUGUCUACAACACGUCAUCAGACACUUCAAAUACAGGUGGGUGGGUGGAGACGAGGGCAAAAGGUCAGCAGUUGUUGCCUCUGGACGGAGGCUUCACAAGUGGUUGUAUGUAUGUUCUUUCCGUUGUUCUGUAUGUUUGGAAAUUGUCAAGUAAAAAGGUGGGGAAAAUACUAUCUAGGUAAGGUAAGAGGAACAGCUGUCCUCUCGUGGCUGGUAGUUUGGGGCUCUAGCCAAGGACUUCCCUUCUUGUGCCUCAAGGUGCAGUGUUUCCCCUAUACUUCGGGGUUCUUUAAAACUUGGGCAUAGUGGCUGUUCACGACAGGUUUCCAUUUUCUGCUGUCUGCCCUGGGGCCACCUCUGUGCCUCUCACUGGCUUCAUCCUCGGCCGGUUGGACCUUCUGAGGAGCUACCAGACCCUGCCCUGGCUGCCAGGGCAACAGAGGAGCAGCCCCUGGAGGAACGUGAAAGAGAAUGGAGAGCCUCUU